rnacentral:rRNA from 1 species
UAACAAGGAUUCCCCUAGUAACUGCGAGUGAAGCGGGAAGAGCUCAAAUUUAAAAUCUGACAGUCUUCUGGCUGUCCGAGUUGUAAUCUGGAGAAGCGUUUUCUGUGUUAGACCGUGUACAAGUCUCCUGGAACGGAGCGUCAUAGAGGGUGAGAAUCCCGUCCAUGACACGGACUACUAAUACUUUGUGAUACGCUCUCGAAGAGUCGAGUUGUUUGGGAAUGCAGCUCAAAAUGGGUGGUAAAUUCCAUCUAAAGCUAAAUACAGGCGAGAGACCGAUAGCGAACAAGUACCGUGAGGGAAAGAUGAAAAGCACUUUGGAAAGAGAGUUAAACAGUACGUGAAAUUGUUGAAAGGGAAACGCUUGAAGUCAGUCGCGUUGUGCAGAACUCAGCCUUGCCUCAGCUUGGUGUACUUUCUGCACAACGGGUCAACAUCAAUUUUGGCCCAUGGAGAAAGGUGGGGGGAAUGUAGCGCUGUUUCGGCAGCGUGUUAUAGCCCUCUAUUGGUAUACAUGGGUUGGGAUUGAGGAUUGCAGCACGCCCUUGUGGCCGGGGGUUCGCCCUACGUACCGUGCUUAGGAUGUUGGCAGAAUGGCUUUAAGCGACCCGUCUUGAAACACGGACCAAGGAGUCUAACAUGCUUGCGAGUGUUCGGGUGGAAAACCCUUGUGCGUAAUGAAAGUGAAAGUUGGGAACCUCCGUAAGGGGGUGCACCGACGCCCGGCCCUGACGUUCUCUGACGGUGCUGCGGUAGAGCAAGUAUGCUAGGACCCGAAAGAUGGUGAACUAUGCCUGAAUAGGGCGAAGCCAGAGGAAACUCUGGUGGAGGCUCGUAGCGAUUCUGACGUGCAAAUCGAUCGUCAAAUUUGGG